rnacentral:rRNA from 1 species
GAUGAACGCUGGCGGCGUGCCUAAUACAUGCAAGUCGAGCGAACGGACGAGAAGCUUGCUUCUCUGAUGUUAGCGGCGGACGGGUGAGUAACACGUGGAUAACCUACCUAUAAGACUGGGAUAACUUCGGGAAACCGGAGCUAAUACCGGAUAAUAUUUUGAACCGCAUGGUUCAAAAGUGAAAGACGGUCUUGCUGUCACUUAUAGCUGGAUCCGCGCUGCAUUAGCUAGUUGGUAAGGUAACGGCUUACCAAGGCAACGAUGCAUAGCCGACCUGAGAGGGUGAUCGGCCACACGGGAAGUGAGACACGGUCCAGACUCCUACGGGAGGCAGCAGUAGGGAAUCUUCCGCAAUGGGCGAAAGCCUGACGGAGCAACGCCGCGUGAGUGAUGAAGGUCUUCGGAUCGUAAAACUCUGUUAUUAGGGAAGAACAUAUGUGUAAGUAACUGUGCACAUCUUGACGGUACCUAAUCAGAAAGCCACGGCUAACUACGUG